UCAAAAUAAAAAUUUUAGAAUGGUACCAAAUUUGACGGAACUAGGGAUUUACAGGUGAAUUGGUUCAAGAUUGUUUUGAGAGCCUUCUUCAUUUACAUCUACUUGAGAAAUUAAAGUUUGAAAUUGGAAGGGUUGAGCGGUUCUAUCUUCCUGUUUCUUUUUCACCAAAUCUUAAACGUUUGACACUUUGUUAUACUUAUAUUUCAUGGAAGGAGAUAAACAUAAUUGGAAAAUUGCCAAACUUGGAGAUUCUCAAACUAAAAGAUUUUGCCUUUUGUGGCUCAAAGUGGGAGCCAAUGGAGGUGGGAUUUAAAAAAUUAAAGGUGUUCCAUGUUGCACGUUCAGAUCUCACACAUUGGAAUGCAAGUGCUGAUCAUUUUCCUAUUCUGGAGCAUUUAGUUUUGAGAUAUUGCUGGGAAUUAAAAACGAAUUCCAAUUGCUUUUGCGAGCAUUGAAACAUUGAAAUCAAUUGUGUUAGAGAGUUGUUAUUCAUCUCUCGUGAAUUCUGCACAUGAGAUUCAAAGGAGGGCAGAUCAACCUGCUGCAUUUCGUGUUUAUGAUCUUGGAACUAAGGUUGAAUUGCCUAAUAGAGAGAUUUCUGAAGAAGAAAGCUUUGAAUGCUCUAGGGAAGAAAAUGGCUAAUGAUUUUUUUAAUUUUCUGUUUUGAAGUGUAUCAAAGUGUUGUAUAUUUGCUUCAAUUUCCAUUUGAUUUGAUCAGUUCAGCCUUAGCUUGUGUGUUGAAUGGGCAUGGCAUCUCACGGAUUGUUAUGCCGUGGAACUGUACGUGUCCACCUUGCAAGAUGGACACGGU